rnacentral:rRNA from 1 species
CCUACGGGAGGCAGCAGUGGGGAAUAUUGCACAAUGGGGGGAACCCUGAUGCAGCGACGCCGCGUGAGCGAAGAAGGUUUUCGGAUCGUAAAGCUCUGUCCUUGGAGAAGAUGAUGACGGUAUCCAAGGAGGAAGCCCCGGCUAACUACGUGCCAGCAGCCGCGGUAAUACGUAGGGGGCGAGCGUUGUCCGGAAUUACUGGGCGUAAAGGGUACGCAGGCGGUUCCAUAAGUCAGGUGUAAAAGGCAUUGGCUCAACCAAUGUAAGCAUUUGAAACUGUGGGACUUGAGUAUAGGAGAGGUAAGUGGAAUUCCUAGUGUAGCGGUGAAAUGCGUAGAUAUUAGGAGGAACACCAGUGGCGAAGGCGACUUACUGGACUAUAACUGACGCUGAGGUACGAAAGCGUGGGGAGCAAACAGGAUUAGAUACCCUGGUAGUCCACGCUGUAAACGAUGAGUGCUAGGUGUCGGCAAGAGAUUGUCGGUGCCGGAGUUAACGCAAUAAGCACUCCGCCUGGGGAGUACGGUCGCAAGAC